CAUUAUGGCGGCUGUGUGCGGGCAGGCCUCGGUCUGGCCGAGUACCUAUUUCUCGGAUUUCUCACCCCUGCACACAGCUGCCACCACU
rnacentral:antisense_RNA from 2 species